rnacentral:snRNA from 1 species
AGCUUUGCACAGUGGCAGUAUCAUAGCCAGUGAGGUUUAUCUGAGGCACGAUUAUGGCUAAUUGAAAACUUUUCCCAAUACCCUGCCAUGAUGACUUGCAAUAUAGUCGGCAUUGGCAAUUUUUGACAGUCUCCACAGAGA